UACUUGUACCUGGUGGCGAGCGGCGGACGGGUGAGUAAUGCCUAGGAAUCUGCCUGGUAGUGGGGGAUAACGCUCGGAAACGGACGCUAAUACCGCAUACGUCCUACGGGAGAAAGCAGGGGACCUUCGGGCCUUGCGCUAUCAGAUGAGCCUAGGUCGGAUUAGCUAGUUGGUGAGGUAAUGGCUCACCAAGGCGACGAUCCGUAACUGGUCUGAGAGGAUGAUCAGUCACACUGGAACUGAGACACGGUCCAGACUCCUACGGGAGGCAGCAGUGGGGAAUAUUGGACAAUGGGCGAAAGCCUGAUCCAGCCAUGCCGCGUGUGUGAAGAAGGUCUUCGGAUUGUAAAGCACUUUAAGUUGGGAGGAAGGGCAUUUACCUAAUACGUAAGUGUUUUGACGUUACCGACAGAAUAAGCACCGGCUAACUCUGUGCCAGCAGCCGCGGUAAUACAGAGGGUGCAAGCGUUAAUCGGAAUUACUGGGCGUAAAGCGCGCGUAGGUGGUUUGUUAAGUUGGAUGUGAAAUCCCCGGGCUCAACCUGGGAACUGCAUUCAAAACUGACAAGCUAGAGUAUGGUAGAGGGUGGUGGAAUUUCCUGUGUAGCGGUGAAAUGCGUAGAUAUAGGAAGGAACACCAGUGGCGAAGGCGACCACCUGGACUGAUAC
rnacentral:rRNA from 1 species